AUGAAAUUUAGGGAAAAAUCAACUAUAAUCAGACCCAACAUUCCCACUUGUUGCGUUGAAACAGACAAAAGAUAAUCACAUCAAGUCUAUGUUCAAGAAUCCUCCGAAGAAAUAUGCCAAGAAAAUAUCCUAACACAAGCAUAAGUCUAAAUAAAGAAUUAGUAACCACUGUAGAAAGAAAGGUAGGUUUUAAACAGACAAAUUGAUAUUUUAUUAAUGAGGUUUUAUAUUACAGUUAUCGGAGACAACUCCAUCCCAAGAAAUUGUUGUGGUGAAGAGACUUAAUAGAUAAGAUAUUAUUAGAAGUUAUAUGUACAGUUAAGAAGUAAGCUAAUUAAACGUUAUUAUUCAAGUUAUUCA